rnacentral:rRNA from 1 species
UACCAGCACCCCGAGUGGUCGGGACGAUUAUUGGGCCUAAAGCAUCCGUAGCCGGUCCUGCAAGUCUUCCGUUAAAUCCAGCUGCUCAACAGAUGGGCCGCGGAGGAUACUCCAGAGCUAGGAGGCAGGAGAGGCAAGCGGUACUCAGUGGGUAGGGGUAAAAUCCGUUGAUCCAUUGAAGACCACCAGUGGCGAAGGCGGCUUGCCAGAAUGCGCUCGACGGUGAGGGAUGAAAGCUGGGGGAGCAAACCGG